rnacentral:tRNA from 1 species
GGGGGUAUUUGGAAGCAGGGAGUGUUGAUGGCACCGUCUGCCCGGGUUCGAUUCCCGGUACCUCCACCA